UUAUCUCCACCAUAGGUAACGCUUCACUAAUUCCCACAUGAAACCGGCUAUUCGCUCCCGAUCCCCACCAUAGGACCAGAACACACCAAAAUUUGACCAAUUUAUCUACAUCAUGAUGCAUGCCUCUCAACAAUAUGCAUUGUCACAAUAAGGUUCACCAAAAGGAUCCACAUACAGAUCUCACCAUUUAUGCAUCACAUCAUUCAUCUUAUGCAACAAUCAAUUCACGUUACAACAUUAAUAAUAUGAACAAACAAUAACAUCUCAUCAAC
rnacentral:lncRNA from 1 species